CAGUCAAUUUGGUUGUGAAACC
rnacentral:miRNA from 15 species